UACGGAGGUGGCGAGCGUUGUCCGGAAUUAUUGGGCGUAAAGCGCGCGUAGGCGGGAUAGUCAGUCUGUUGUAAAAGCGCGGGGCUCAACCCCGUAAGGUCAAUGGAAACUGCUAUUCUUGAGUGCAGGAGAGGAAAGUGGAAUUCCCAGUGUAGCGGUGAAAUGCGUAGAUAUUGGGAGGAACACCAGUGGCGAAGGCGACUUUCUGGACUGUAUCUGACGCUGAGGCGCGAAAGCUAGGGGAGCGAACGGG
rnacentral:rRNA from 1 species